ACUGCUCAGUAACACGUGGAUAACCUGCCCUUGGGUCCGGCAUAACUCCGGGAAACUGGAGAUAAUUCCGGAUAACGCAUAUAUGCUGGAAUGCUUUAUGCGUAAAAUGGAUUCGUCUGCCCAAGGAUGGGUCUGCGGCCUAUCAGGUAGUAGUGGGUGUAAUGUACCUACUAGCCUGCGACGGGUACGGGUUGUGAGAGCAAGAGCCCGGAGAUGGAUUCUGAGACAUGAAUCCAGGCCCUACGGGGCGCAGCAGGCGCGAAAACUUUACAAUGCGGGAAACCGUGAUAAGGGGACACCGAGUGCCAGCAUCAUAUGCUGGCUGUCCAGGUGUGUAAAAUACACCUGUUAGCAAGGGCCGGGCAAGACCGGUGCCAGCCGCCGCGGUAACACCGGCGGCCCGAGUGGUGAUCGUGAUUAUUGGGUCUAAAGGGUCCGUAGCCGGUUUGGUCAGUCCUCCGGGAGAUCUGACGGCUCAACCGUUAGGCUUUCGGGGGAUACUGCCAGGCUUGGAACCGGGAGAGGUAAGAGGUACUACAGGGGUAGGAGUGAAAUCUUGUAAUCCCUGUGAGACCACCUGUGGCGAAGGCGUCUUACCAGAACGGGUUCGACGGUGAGGGACGAAAGCUGGGGGCACGAACCGGAUUAGAUACCCGGGUAGUCCCAGCCGUAAACGAUGCUCGCUAGGUGUCAGGCAUGGCGCGACCGUGUCUGGUGCCGCAGGGAAGCCGUGAAGCGAGCCACCUGGGAAGUACGGCCGCAAGGCUGAAACUUAAAGGAAUUGGCGGGGGAGCAC
rnacentral:rRNA from 1 species